rnacentral:rRNA from 1 species
GAACACCGAUGGCGAAGGCAGGUCUCUGGGCCGCAACUGACGCUGAGGAGCGAAAGCAUGGGGAGCGAACAGGAUUAGAUACCCUGGUAGUCCAUGCCGUAAACGUUGGGCACUAGGUGUGGGGCUCAUUCCACGAGUUCCGUGCCGCAGCUAACGCAUUAAGUGCCCCGCCUGGGGAGUACGGCCGCAAGGCUAAAACUCAAAGGAAUUGACGGGGGUCCCGCACAAGCGGCGGAGCAUGCGGAUUAAUUCGAUGCAACGCGAAGAACCUUACCAAGGCUUGACAUAUACCGAAAACUCGUGGAGACACGGGGUCCGCAAGGGCGGUAUACAGGUGGUGCAUGGUUGUCGUCAGCUCGUGUCGUGAGAUGUUGGGUUAAGUCCCGCAACGAGCGCAACCCUCGUCCUAUGUUGCCAGCGGAUCAUGCCGGGGGUACUCAUAGGAGACUGCCGGGGUCAACUCGGAGGAAGGUGGGGAUGAGGUCAAAUCAUCAUGCCCCGUUAUGUCUUGGGCUUCACGCAUGCUACAAUGGCCGGUACAAAGGGCUGCGAUACCGCAAGGUGGAGCGAAUCUCAAAAACGCCGGUCUCAGUUCGGAUUGGGGUCUGCAACUCGA